rnacentral:rRNA from 1 species
UAAUUGAAGAGUUUGAUCAUGGCUCAGAUUGAACGCUGGCGGUAGGCUUAACACAUGCAAGUCGAGCGGUAACAGACAUUUUGAUUUUGCUUGCAAAAUCUCGUGCUGACGAGCGGCGAACGGGUGAGUAACGCGUAGGAAUCUACCUAGUAGAAGGGGAUAGCCCGNGGAAACUCGGAUUAAUACCGUAUACNUCCUNAGGGAGAAAGAGGGCCUCUAGCUUUGAUGCUCUCGCUAUUAGAUGAGCCUGCGUAAGAUUAGCUUGUUGGUGAGGUAAAGGCUCACCAAGGCGACGAUCUUUAGCUGGUCUGAGAGGACGAUC